AGAGUUUGAUCAUGGCUCAGGAUCAACGCUGGCGGCGUGCCUAAUGCAUGCAAGUCGAACGGGGUCACCUUCGGGUGGCUCACGUGGCGGACGGGUGAGGAACACGUGGGCAAUCUGCCGCACGCACGGGGGUAGCCCGCGGAAACGCGGGGUAAUUCCGGAUGUGCUGGUCGCUGGGUAGGGCGAUUCAGGAAAGGUCUUCGGGCCGGCGUGCGAGGAGCCUGCGUCCGAUUAGCUUGUUGGUGGGGUAACGGCCUACCAAGGCGAUGAUCGGUAGCUGGUCUGAGAGGAUGAUCAGCCACACGGGGACUGAGACACGGCCCCGACUCCUACGGGAGGCAGCAGCAAGGAAUUUUCCGCAAUGGGCGAAAGCCUGACGGAGCAACGCCGCGUGCGGGAUGACGCCCUUCGGGGUGUAAACCGCUGUUCGUGGGGACGAAGCACUGACGGUACCCACGGAGGAAGGCCCGGCUAACUACGUGCCAGCAGCCGCGGUAAUACGUAGGGGCCGAGCGUUGUCCGGAGUUACUGGGCGUAAAGCGUGCGCAGGCGGCUUGUCGCGCCCGGCGUGAAAGCCCCCGGCUCAACCGGGGAGGGUCGUCGGGGACGGGCAGGCUUGAGGACAGCAGGGGCUGGUGGAAUUCCCGGUGUAGUGGUGAAAUGCGUAGAGAUCGGGAGGAACACCUGUGGCGAAGGCGGCCAGCUGGGCUGGACCUGACGCUGAGGCACGAAGGCGUGGGGAGCGAACGGGAUUAGAUACCCCGGUAGUCCACGCAGUAAACGAUGCAGACUAGGCGUGGGGGGACUUGACCCCCUCCGUGCCGGAGCUAACGCGUGAAGUCUGCCGCCUGGGGAGUACGGCCGCAAGGCUAAAACUCAAAGGAAUUGACGG
rnacentral:rRNA from 1 species